UUAAAUUGUGAAAUAAUAUUUAAUAUUGUGACUUUACAUUUCACAAUAUUACUGUAUUUACUGUAUUUUUGAUAAAAUAAAGUCUUUUACUGACCCCAAACUUUUGAACAGUAGUGUAUAUAUAUAUAUAUAUAUAUAUAUAUAUGUGUGUGUGUGUGUGUGUGUGCGCACACACGCAUAAAUAUUCCAUUACAUAUGGAAAAGAGCAGCAUCCACACUCAUUCACAGAUAAAAGGAAAGAUUUUAAAGAACAUGAGGGAAAGUAAAUGACUGGACGUUCAUUUUUUACUGAACCGUUACAUUUUAAAACCAAAUUUGUGACAAGCUUUUCUUAAAAUGUCAUAUUUUGGGCCACGGGCUGUAGUAAAAACUACACCCACCCACCCACCAUCUCAAACUUCACCCCAUCCACUAAUUGCCGCAGGGUGUCCUUUAAAGAAUCUCCUGGUGUCACCUUGGUUCUUGAGAGACGGGUGUUGAAAAUGCACCGGGGGACGGCUUAAGCAUAACACAAGUGUCAUAAAAGAAUAGUAUUUUCUAGACACUUCAUCUUCAUUCGACUGAUGAAGUUUGACAAUCCAUCAAAAUGUAUUACAUCCAUCCACUGACCUUUGAUGUUUUCAUCAGCACCUUUUUAGGUUGGGAAAGCUUCCCCUCACUAGCUAAUGUGGUUUCACAUCAGACAGACAUAUGUAUGAUCUCUUCCCAUUGCGAAAACCCUCAAUACAGCACAUGUAAAGACUUUUUUUUUUUCAACCUUGAACCUCCUGGUCCUCUGCAGAAAAACACGAAAGGUACAUGAACAAUCAGUGGUACAAUCUAUAGAAAUACACCUUAUAUUGUACAUUGCACCGGUUCUCAACUGGUUUUGCUGCAGGAUGCAGACUUUACAUUGGACAUCAACAAGGCUGUAACCAUGUCUUGAACAUCGGGGACCAAUUUUUUAUAAAGCAUAAAGAAAUAGAACAGCGAAGGAAAUUCUAGGUCUAAUUCUAGUUGAGAAAUAAUCAUUUUGAACUAUUUGCAAAUAAUAUUUGCAUUAAAAUAUGCACACAUGCACUUAUUUGUAUGCCCUCACUUAUUUGUAACACUCAGUUAGGAAUUACAAUUCAAUUCAAAACGGCCAUAUUUGAGAAAAAAGUUGAGUAGUUUGCAUCACUCUUUUAAUGUUAAACUGAUGCUUCGCGCUGGAAUUCACUCUCUGCUUUUGCAAACAGUAAACCACGCCUACUUUGAUUUGAUCGACCAUUACAAUCAUUUUGACGUUGAUGAGCGCUGUUAGACCGCUGGGGCAGACCAGACUAAAAAUAUUUUAAACUUUUAUACCUUUUUGUCAUCCUAACAACUUACAGAGUGCUGCGUAAUGGAGUGCAGCAGAUCAGUGCAAGAAUUUUAAAUAUUUGGGGGGACAAUUUGGCCAUUUCUAAUUAUUGGGGGGGACUUGUCCCCCUCAAUGUCUAUGGUACACUGUUAAAUGUCGCUGUAGAUUUAGCAGCACAGUACUGUAAAAACCUACAGUAGCCUACAGUACCACAUUUCUAUAUAAUUUAUAUUGCAUUCUGGGUAAUUUUGAUUGAGCGGGAAUAUUUUACAGUAUAUAUUAGUGUUGCUGUAACCCUGCUGUAACCUGGCUGUAAUAUACCAGGCAAUAAUACAGGAUUGCUGUAAAUAACGCGCCACCUGACGUCACAUCAAACAGACAGAAGAACACAGCUGCUGGUGACUGGAGAAGCUGAACGGUGUAUUUCUGGAAGUUCGCAGUGUGGUCCACUUGUCUUUGCAUCCUGGGAAGUGCAUUGCUGUCACAAGGAAGCGUAUGAGUAUUUUUUUCGGCAUUGAAGGGAAGAAAUGUACUGCCAGACAGGGAGUGAGCAGAAGAUCAGGACGGUGGUGCUGGUGCAGAGUGAUGGCCAUCAACCCACAUGUCAACAGCUUCGUUCGGUCCUUUGUGUUUAAAUGGACGACUUCACACUGAGGGACUGUGGCCUGUUUGCAAGCAUCCACAUGCCCUACAGUUAGGGGUGAAUGUUGUGGGACACUUGUUGUUUUUGCUCACUUUUUAAGAUAAAUCAAAUUGCUGAUGCACUGUACCAGGGCUGUUGCUGAUGGGGCGAAAAUGGGGCGAAAAUGUUUAAAUAUAUUGA